rnacentral:rRNA from 1 species
UACAGAGGUCUCAAGCGUUGUUCGGAUUCAUUGGGCGUAAAGGGUGCGUAGGCGGCGCGGUAAGUCGGGUGUGAAAUCUCCGAGCUUAACUCCGAAACUGCAUUCGAUACUGCCGUGCUUGAGGACUGGAGAGGAGACUGGAAUUUACGGUGUAGCGGUGAAAUGCGUAGAUAUCGUAAGGAAGACCAGUGGCGAAGGCGGGUCUCUGGACAGUUCCUGACGCUGAGGCACGAAGGUCAGGGGAGCAAACGGG